CCAUCUUCUUCCUCAGUACAUUUCUGCUGUGGUCAGAGCAGAGUUGCAUGUGUGUAGUUGGUGUUGACCUUUCUCUGCUGAGCCAUUUUUCAAGAAGAAUGAAAAUACAUGCACUUAUUACUAGUUUCUCAUUACUUGUUGCUUGCUGUUACAGAACCAAUUGCCAGUGGGACUUCAGCUGUUUACAAUAUCUUCUCACUUAGGUUGCUGACUUCAGCUGUAGGGCUUUAAUUGGGUUACUUUUAUAACUGAGGGAGCAAAAGGGUGCUUUGUUUUACCUCAGCAAAUAGAGUCUGUCUCCUCAUUACAGUUUUUUCACAAGCUAGCCACAAUUUAUGUGGAGGGUCUUUUGCAUCUCUUGCAACUUCCUAAUGAUUCUGAUGCAGAAAUCGUGUUCUUUCAAGUGUUUUUCCACAGGGAGAUCCUGGCUGGGGAACAGCCACCAGAGAGUAAGCUGUUCUUCCAAUAAGUCUCAAGUGGCUACAUGGGAAUAACCAUCGCGCUUAAUCUCAUCAUGCUCUCAGAGAGGUAAUUUUUCCAACAUUGGACACAGUUGGAGGCAGGAGUCUUACAAAAGAGGUAUUCCUUCUUGGGAAGAAGAGAGGUCCAGGCCCAUCAAUCCAUCCAAUAGUUGGAGCUCUCAUCCUCAAAAAUAGGGGUUUCUGGAAACCAGAUUCCUACUUUUGGCAAGCUUUAUUUCAAACAACAUCAGGAUGUGAGGCUUCCAUCUCAUCCCAGACACUGCUUACUUGCCGUGGCCGAUGGGCCUAUUCAACUGCAAACCUCCAACAUCUGUCCUGUACUUUGGCCAGCAAGAUAUGAGCAAGAUUUGACUCUUUUGACCUGGGAGUUCCUCCGAAGUCUUCAGUUUCAAUUUGGCCGUCUUCAUGUCUGCAUUGAGGAGGGAACAUAAUGGCAAAAACAGCCUCUGCAAAACCUCUCUGUCUUGGUUUUCUGCCCAACGAUACUCUAGAGGACUUGGCUAUAUGAACGUAUAUGUUCUUGAAACAUCAGAGAUGAAGAGAAAUGGCAAUCAGCACUACAUUUAGGGCAGGUUUUCCUUCCCUUUAAAAACAUGGUUGUAACAUGAUCCCCAUUUGUUAUCUUGCUAUUUGGUAAGUAAAGGCUGUGUCUACAGCCCAUGUCAACCAGAGGGUCUGAGGAAGGACAUAAACGCUGGAACUACCAAGAUUUAGCUCCUCAAAUUUGUAGUGAACUGAAUGUGGUGGAUCAGCAAUCCCAUCUGCUUUCCCAAGCAGUAACAGUGCAGCCACUCUAAGAGCAUCUAUAAGCUAACCUGUGCCUGAUAUGUCAAUGGUGGGGUCAUCUCUCAGAGCUAACAGUGUAGAUGGAGGCUGUUGGGGCAGUCCUUUCGUGUUUUGUUUGUCUGAACAGAGGUAGGGGGCAUUGCUUUAAGACAAGAAGUAAGUGUAGAUGGAUGAAGUGGGUUUUUAAGAUUUUUUUUUUUUUUUUUACACAGAAACAAAGGAAUCAUCCUUUUGUUUAUAUUACUAAAGAAAGAUAUAUAAAACAAAAAUAUACACUUAAACUUUUCCUUUCUCUCAUUUUUGAUCUCCUUAUACUUUCAGAGGUUAUCAGCUUAUUAAAAUAUUGUGGCUUUCAAGUGUUUGAAGGCUGAGACUGUUUUCACUGAAGUUGCUGGGAGGUUCCUGACUAAUUUUAGUAGGGAGGGGGAAGGUGAGCAAUCCUUGCCAGCUGACAUCAGACAGGGAGAUGAGUACCUCCAAGCGCUUGUUCAUCUGCUGACAAUUCAAGAAUAUUUUGCUACCUUUAAAUAGAUCACAUAAAAGGUGACUUCAAGACAAGCAUCUAAAAAUAUAACUUUGCACAAAGUUUGCUUGGCCACUCUGUUUUUGCUUCUUUACUUCUUUAAUCAGAAAAAAGACAGCCACCAAUUUCUUGUCUGUUCUCCACUCAUAUCGCCAUCUUCACUUAUACAGUUCCUUAUGACCAAAGGUCUUUGGUCGUCUGUGCUCCAGCCCUUUAAACCAUAGAACUGCUGAGUGGAAGAGACCUCUUGAGGUUAUCCAGUAUAAACUCUUGCUCAGUCUCUCCUUAAACAAUAUUUCUACAAGAUUCCUAUGAACAUCAAUCUUCUUUAUGAGGUGACAGCAUCUGAUGAAAAAUACAGGACAUCUGCAGCUACCUGAUCAUCCAAUUUUAAUUCCUAUUCCUCUUCCCCAUCCUCUGUAUUUAACUGGAGCCACAGUAUGUUGCUAAGCCUUUCAGCUGGCCCCUUCCACCUGCUUUUCUUUUUUCUCUCUACAUAAAGUUUCCCAACCUUUUGUCAGUGAAUAAAUUGAUGGUUAUAGUGGUCGUUUUUAAGGUAAGAUCUUUAGAAAGAUUUAACUCCUCUUGUCACCUGUACUAAUUAGUAUUUUCCAUUUUGGCUUGAUGCAAAGAGGUGUGUUUUUUUUUUCUUUUUUCUGGACACACCUGGAAGAAGAGGAUAACCAAGAAUUAUGAAUGCAAGUUAGGAAGCAAUGCUUUGUUUGCAUUUAUGUUGGAGUGUUCUACACUAAAAAUCAUCUCCUGAAUCAUGCAAUAUCUACAUUUCUUCGAGCAGCACAUACCACCUCCAAGAUGCAACUCAGCUGCCUAGUGAUUAGGGUUAUAAAAAUAGAGUAAGAAAGCUUGUUGCUUGAUCUUUCUCCCCAUCUUGGAUAAUAGAGCAGCUAGGUCAUGAGUUUUCCUCAGCUUGAAAUGGCUGCUUCUGCCCAUUGGUGAGGAAUACAAAGCCAAGGAGACCAUACAGAGGCAUGUGGGUUUUCAUGGCUUUUUGGCAACAUCAAGGAUCAGCCUCUUCUCAUGCAGCAACGGAGACAUCCCCUUCCUCACCUACUGUGCCAGGAGGGAUGCAGCAGCUGCCUUGUUGCGGUGGUGGAUGUGUUAACUCCAAGCCUGUGAGCUUGUUAGUCUGUCUAGCUACUGUGCACACCAACCAGUUAGUAACUGAUGCACCCUAGUCUGCUCUGUGUAUCCUGUUUGCAAAGUCUCUCUGUGCGCAGCGUAAGUUGCUCAGAACAUCCAGCUCAGAGAGGAGGCUGCAUAUCUGUGAAAUUAAGACUUCAUUAUUAAUUUUUAACGGGUCUGGGACACCCCUUUCAGUCAGGUCUGCUUCCCCAACUCAGUGAGCCAGUGCUGCUUCAGCAAUCGCUCCCUACCCACUUCCCUGACUUCACUGGGAGUAUUUUGUAGUCAAACCACUUCCCUUCUCCAUCUCCCUGCUUGUGCUGACAUGGCAGAGAGAAAUGAGUGGCUGCUUAAUGCCACGCUGCUCUUUUCAGAUAGCCAGAGCCUGCAUUAACAGCUGAAAUGCCACGUGAACCUGCAGUGGGUUUACCAGUUGAGGUUACUCUCAGGAGGAAUACAGCUUUGGCUGGCUGGUUGUACAUCCUCUGUGCCUCUCCGUGGGAUCUGUGGAUCCUGACUCCACCAGCUGUGCUAAUACUCAAGCUACACCUUCCAGCCAGCCAUGAGUGUUUGCACUAAUUCACAUGGAGCAACCUGUCUUCAGCUGCGCACCUGAAGAUGCAAUAUUUAAUACCUCCAUUAACUGCCUUUUUAUCAAAGGGGCAGGACGAAGCACGCCUUUGUGGUUGCCUUGGUUUUGUGAUGCUGUGGCUGCGUUUUUAAAGUACAAGCUGUUCUGAAUGAGAUGAAACAGACAGGUACUUAAAUUAAAUAGGUAUGCUUGUGUAAUGAUGGCUAACCUCUAAUGGACCGAAAACUGUGUAAACCUGACAAAUCUAAUAAAAUAAAGAUAAUUACGCAUUUUGCAUCAGGCAUUUUUAGGACAUGAACAGUGUAUGUUGAGGUAGAAUAAAGCUUCAUUGAAACCCCAGGGGAAACAGCAGAAGCUAGUGUUCGUGGGGCGGUAACAAAAUAUUGUUUACAAAUAUCCACUGGUUGUGAAGUUAUCUAUACUGAAGAAACUGGAUGCACUGUAAACCAAAGAUUGAAGGAGCAUAAAACAUGCAAUAUUAUAGUUACAAGGCACAUAAAAUAUUAUUGGAUAUGUGAUAAAUAUUUGUGCCUGAGCAAUUUUACUAUUUUACAAACUACUUUUCCUGUGGGAUGGUUGAAGAAUACAAGGACACUUUAUUUAUCAGUUUUAAAGUCUAGCUGCUCCCAGGACCCAUGACAAGAAUGUAAUGUACCUGUUCUCUAAAGUGUCUAAUUAAUUGUUUAGUUUUGUAUUGAAAAUAUUCUUUUUUUGGUUAAAGCUGCUAUCAGUAGGCAGAUGAAUCAUCUCCCAGGCUGCAUAAGUAAAGGCAGAAUAGGUCCCUAAAGUGAUGCUGUUUUGAAAUUGAAAUCAUAUAUUAAAGAAAAUUCCCCAUAGGGGAUGGGAAGCCCACAGUGCAGAGUUAAAUGGAAACAGAGAUGCUGCAUUAAGCUGCAGUACAAGCCUUUUAGAAGUUGUAUGUGGGACCUGGGAUAGGUUAUGCUACACAUUUAGGAAGUGUUUACCUAUAAAUGCUGGCAUGUACUGUUUGAGAUUUGGGGAUGGGUAGUGGGUGUGUUUGAAAACUGAGGCAAGACUCGCUGAGUGGCAAUAAAAUGUUUUCUCAAAAUGAUUUCUCUGUAUUUUAAACUACAGAAGAGCUCAUCUGGACAACUUCUUAUUGUUGGUGGUGAUUUUUUACUAUUUUUUAUUUUUAUUUUUUAAUCUUUUUAUACAUUUGCACAGCUAAUUUAUUAGGUGUCUGUCUUUGCUCUUCAUUGAUUGUUCCAGGUGUAGCCUUCCUCCUUCUGUUAAUUUAUAUUCCCAUCUUUCUUCAUGUAUGGAAGGAAUUUAAAAUAUUAAAAGUAUAACAA